rnacentral:rRNA from 1 species
CCUACGGGAGGCAGCAGGGAGGAAUAUUGGUCAAUGGACGCAAGUCGGAACCAGCCAUGCCGCGUGCAGGAAGACGGCUCUAUGAGUUGUAAACUGCUUUUGUACGAGGGUAAACUCAGAUACGCGUAUCUGUCUGAAAGUACCGUACGAAUAAGGAUCGGCUAACUCCGUGCCAGCAGCCGCGGUAAUACGGAGGGUUCAAGCGUUAUCCGGAUUUAUUGGGUUUAAAGGGUGCGUAGGCGGUCGGAUAAGUUAGAGGUGAAAUCCCGAGGCUCAACUUCGGAAUUGCCUCUGAUACUGUUAGGCUAGAGAGUAGUUGCGGUAGGCGGAAUGUAUGGUGUAGCGGUGAAAUGCAUAGAGAUCAUGCAGAACACCGAUUGCGAAGGCAGCUUACCAAGCUACAUCUGACGUUGAGGCACGAAAGCGUGGGGAGCAAACAGGAUUAGAUACCCGGGUAGUC